rnacentral:snRNA from 1 species
GUUCCCUCCAGCAGAACAUAUACUAAAAUUGGAAUGAUACAGAGAUGAUUAGCAUAGCCCCUGCCCAAGGAUGACAUGCAAAUUCUA